UACGUAGGUGGCGAGCGUUAUCCGGAAUCAUUGGGCGUAAAGAGGGAGCAGGCGGCCGCAAAGGUCUGUGGUGAAAGACCGAAGCUAAACUUCGGUAAGCCAUGGAAACCGGGCGGCUAGAGUGCGGAAGAGGAUCGUGGAAUUCCAUGUGUAGCGGUGAAAUGCGUAGAUAUAUGGAGGAACACCAGUGGCGAAGGCGACGGUCUGGGCCGCAACUGACGCUCAUUCCCGAAAGCGUGGGGAGCAAAUAGG
rnacentral:rRNA from 1 species